rnacentral:rRNA from 1 species
UACGUAGGCAGCGAGCGUUGUUCGGAGUUACUGGGCGUAAAGGGUGCGUAGGCGGUUGUUUUAAGUUUGGUGUGAAAUCUCCCGGCUCAACUGGGAGGGUGCGCCGAAUACUGAAUGACUAGAGUGCGGGAGAGGUGAGUGGAAUUCCCAGUGUAGAGGUGAAAUUCGUAGAUAUUGGGAAGAACACCGGUGGCGAAGGCGGCUCACUGGCUCGUAUCUGACGCUCAGGCGCGAUAGCGUGGGGGAUCAAACAGG